GAUAUUGAAAUUACAAGCUUAAAACUCAAUUUAAAGAAAAGUGGGAGAAAAGCUUAUCCAAAACGACGAGAGGUCUUCGGAUCCAAUCUAAGCUUCCAGAGUCGUAAGAGACGACGAAUACAACUUCAGAUCUUCAAUUGGGGCAGAAAAAAGGAUAUAGAUCUGGACUAAGAUGAAUCUCCCAAGAGGGAGAACCUU